rnacentral:rRNA from 1 species
GUCGCACGGGGGCUUCGGCCUUAGUGGCGGACGGGUGAGUAACGCGUAGGAACGUGUCCUGGGAUGGGGGAUAACGCUGGGAAACUGGCGCUAAUACCGCAUGUCUGCUGAGGCAGAAAGCCUUUGGGUGUCUUGGGAGCGGCCUGCGUCCGAUUAGCUAGUUGGUGGGGUAAAGGCUUACCAAGGCGACGAUCGGUAGCUGGUCUGAGAGGACGAUCAGCCACACUGGGACUGAGACACGGCCCAG